AUACUACUCCCUCCGCCCGGAAAUAUUUGUCAUCAAAAUGGAUAAAAGGGGAUGUAUCUAGAUGUAUUUUAGUUCUAAAUACAUCUCUUUUUGUCCAUUUUGAUGACAAGUAUUUUCGGACGGAGGGAGUAUAUU
rfam:Triticum urartu cultivar G1812 contig1145647, whole genome shotgun sequence.